UACGUCUCACGUAACUGGCGAAAACCGCCUGCCGGCGGUGAAGGUGGAGAUCCACCGUGGAGCGUGAGAUGUCGUUUUGCCGUUCGCCUGGGCAGCCUCC
rnacentral:ncRNA from 2 species